ACUUUUAUUGCACACAUAUCCAGAUGAUGAUGUGUACCAUUUUUAUACUGUAGGUGUGAUCGAGGCGCAAGUUAUAGUAGACUAAACGCUGUAGCUAACUACUUUCAUCGUAAUGACGCAUUACGCUUCGAACACACCGACUGUGUCCCUGCAUCACUGCUGCAUAACAUUUUACGCAGCUAGGCAACUAUACGGAUGCAGGUAUCUUUUGCAGAUGGUCGCAUACGGUUGGACACAUGGAGGAGAGAAUCAUUUUCGCAAAAUCCUCAAAACCGUGUAUUUUUUACACAACUGCUGAUAGCUACAGGGACAUAAACACACAAAAAAUGCUGCUUGGAGACACGUGUCCACGAUAGUAGGAUUGCCAAGUUAGUUUAGUAGUGAGCUUGUGCUAGAUAGCUAGCUAGCUAACCUAGCCAAUGAGAAGACGACUGUAGGAGGAAGUGGAGAGGACUCAGGGACAGGUAUCAGAGAGAAAGAGAAGAAGUCUGGGUCAGCAGCUUCAGGCCAGCAGCCUUGGCACUACUGCCACAUUUUCUUUUCUGGAUCCAUUUAUUGAGCCUAGGGCAACGAGUGGCAAUUUUACAGCCAGACCCUCUACAAGUGUUGUCGCCACCGGUGCAUCAAGACCCUCAACGCCAUCUACAAGUGCGACCAUCGCCUCCACCGGUGGAGUGAAACCCUCUACAACAUCUACAUCAUCCACAAGUAUGACCACCACCGGUGCAGCCAUGGAGGAUAAUGAAAUGGAGGAAGCACCUCUGGAUCUAGGACCACCUGAGAUUAUUAUGAACCUCACUGAGGUCCUCGUUGAACAGGAUGUGGCCGUGGAGAGAAACUGAGAGAAACAACGUCACACCAGGCAUCAUCGGAGAGAUUGAGUCCAUUUAGCCGACCAGCUCACAGGAAGGACAGGAAGAGGAGAGGAGUUGUCUGGUUGUUGUUUUGACCUCCCUCAUUGUACCUUUCAAAUUCAGUCAAUUCAUAAGUAAUUUGUUUAUAAAGUCUUAGGAUAGCAUUCAUUAGUGUUACAUAGAUUUCUGAAUUGAACUCACAGAUUCUCUUGUUGGUCUCUCACAAGACUGAAGGUGAAUAUAUUUAUUUCAUUUAAAACCACUUGAAAACCAGGGUGUUGAAACUGUUAAGUUAUGUUCCAUCGACUGGUCCAUGACGUCCAGGAGCCAUGUUUGUUUAGCUGUGUUAUGGCUACACAUUAUUUUAUUUUUUUCCCCAGAGACACACACCACUCCUCUCUGUACCUCAGAUCUCCAGUGCCCUGCCCGCUCUCUCUCUAUGACCAUGUCUGAAGUUCCCCUACUACAUCUAGGCUUUGAGUAGUCCCUGUAUCUGUCUGCAAUUGUGCCAAAAAUACAUGCUCUUGUUGUUCUCUUACAGAUUACAGGGCUACACACACGCACACACCUCUUUCAAUAGUUAAUUUAAAAAUAUAUAUUUUUACAACACACAUACCUGUCAUGUUCUUUCCUGUACUUGAAUACUUAUUAAAUGGUUUAUUAAUAUCUCAUUUAGACUUACUCUGCUUAUUUCUUCCCU